UACUGAUCGUCAUGGAACAAAAGAAAUCCUUUCAUACAAAGAAGUUUAAAAAAAAUUUUUCCCCCUCAAAUUCCUGUGGUUUGGUUUAGAAAUAACGAAUUCUGUUUCCCUGUGUUUUGUAUAUAUCAGAACAAAACUGGUAACUAAGACAAUGUUUUGACGUUUGUUUUAGGAUGUUUUAAUACAAAUAUCCAGGGAGGAGUUCUUUAAUUGAGUACAUCUGAGAAACAGGCUGUUCAGCCAUGCAUUCGGACUGUCAGCUGCUGGAGAAGUCUUGGCAAAAGGCCCUUCGACCAACUGCACCUGUGCCUGCUAACCUAGAGAGACUCCUUAAUGACAUGGCCUCUACUCAGCUGAUCCGUUCCUGGUGCGUGAUGAGACUACCAAGGAGCCGAAAUGGGGAACCAACCUAAGAUAUCCAUCAAUUAAUGACCAUAUCAUUUACACACAGUAAAAUACUUCACAGCCAUUAAAAACAAGUUGCUGGGCAUGAGUUUCAGCGCAUCCAGGACUAUGUACAGAAACUUUUCUCAAAAAACAAAGCUGGGCAUAGUGGUGUAUACCUUUGGGCUUGUCUCUAGGAGUGCCAGGCAAACCUGACCUAAAUAGUUCCAGGACAGCUGUGACAAAAUGGAUGAAUCUGAAGGACAAAUCGCGUUGGGUAAAAUACGGUGAUCCCAGGAAGACAAGUAAGAUACAUACAAUCUUACUUAUCUAUGGAAUACGAGUGUAAACUGAUAAAAGCAGGCCGUCGAUGGGGAGUCACCAGAGGCUAGGAGCAAAGUGAGGUGAGGGUCAAGUGGGCCAGGGUGGAUUGUUCAGGUUGAAAAGGUGAACACACUCUGAGAUUUACUGAAUAGCAAUAUGACAGUAAUAUUUAGAACAUUUCAAAAGAGAUAUGGAUACAUUUCUAGUUUCAGGAAAAAAAAAAGGGGGGGGGUAAGUGAUGUGGCAGACAUGCUAAUUAGCUUUAAGAAUUCCAGUAUUACCCAGCUAUGAACUCUGCAACUUUGCCAACUGGCCUGGCAAGAUAUGGCCGUGGACACAAUGGUGGCACAAAAUGUUGUGGGAGUAACCACCCACUUUCCAUGGAUUUAAGGCCCCAUUCAUAGGAGGAAACAUGUGCCUAGUACUGGCUGUGUACCCAUGAGUGGGUAGCUCAUAGGUUCCAGGAGUGAAUCUAUUGCUAAGGUAACAUAGUAUCACAUUGUCUUCCCAAUUCAUGUCUCUCUAUGCAUAGAUUAAUGCAGCUCUUGAUCCUCAUCAGAGAAGCUUCUUGGUGCAGUAGAUACUUGUUAAUGCAGAAACACCUAAGUGUAGAAAAAUCAUGUCUUUGGGAUGCUCAGUCACAAAUAUAAUAUCUAUAUUGGAAUCCCCUCCUUGUGAAAGUGAAGGGCCAGCACAGAGGAGUGGGCAGAAACAUUCUAAGGGCCAGAGUUCAUGAAAGACUGUUUCAAAAUAUUAUAUUCUGAACACAAGAAGAUUCUAGCACUCAUGACCUCACAGUGUUACCUGCUCAAGGCCUGUACAGUGGUGGCACUACCUAGCAAAGACAGCCAGGCCUCAGCCUCAACUCAAGUCAACAGGAAUGUCAGAAGUUCUUGGCUAUGCCUCUUCAGCAAAGCGAAGAUCAGUGAAGACAAGAGACCAACAAGCAUUGUACAGCUAACUCUACCAGCAAACCAAGCUCAACCCCCGUCAUUAUCCAUGGAUUCAUUUUUAUACUCCCUCCAAACAUCAUGUGUCCUCCAUGGGUCUUGCUUUAGCAGAACAUCCUUUCUCCUGUGCCUGCUUCAGUAAAACAUUUCUUCACAAGUCUGCCUUAGUCUUUUACCUGUGUCCACUUCAGGAAAACAUUCCUUCACGUGUUUGCCAUAGUAAAACACCAUCCAACACAACUGACCCUCCAAAGAACACUUAAGUUUCCACUUCUUUUGUCACAGCAACAGAAAGAAAAAAAAAAAAAAACACAACUCAGUUCUCUACCUUAUGUUUGUUUGUUUGUUUGUUUUGAUACAGGAUUUCUCAGUGAACCUGGAGCUCACCAGUUAGCUAGACUGUUUGGCCAGCAAGAUCCAGGCAUCCAUCCAUUCCCACCUCCGUAGUGCUAAGAUAAUAGGUGCACAUUUUCAUGCUUGGCUUUCACGAGAGUGUUUAGAAUCUAAGCUUUGGUCCUCGUUCUUACACAACAAGCCCCAUACCCACCUAGAUAUCUCAGCCCCUACCCCGUAAUCCUUAAUGAUUCCUAGGGCUUUUGCGUUGUAUUCUAAAUAGCAUCACCCUCUGUUCCUCUGUUUUUUUUCACCCACAGUCACACAGAGGCAGCCUCUAAUCUGCCAUACUACCCUGGCUUUGAACUUGCUUCCUCGCUGUUUGUUUUCUGCAGGUCUCGUCUGUUCCUCAUGGACCCUUUCCUGUUUUCUGCCUCCUUUUAGACACACUUAGCAUUUAUGAUCUUAUAAUCCAGUUCUCUCAUGAUCCUAUCCUUAUUUGUUUUGAGUCUGGGUUUUUUUAAUGGACCACAAGGUCUGUACUCAUUGUAGUCUAUAAUUGUCUUGAAAUAGCAUUCAUGCCACUUGGUGUGUGAUAAAAAUAGCUUCAUAAAAACUAGGCAUCCGUUUCCUAUGUCCCAGCCUUUUGGCUAAUGUACGACUUUACUAUGUGCAUACCAUAUACAUCAUACUAUACUUUUGCUUUAAACACUCAGUUCUACUUUUAGAGAAUUUAAAACAAAGUGGAAAUCUGCAUGUUCUCUAGCAUUACACUUUCUACUUCUCUUCACUGGCUUCCGUGCACCUGGACUGUCUCCUGGUACCGAUUUUCUUCUUUGUGGAAGGCAGAAAGCCACAUUCUUGUUGGACUAGCCUGCCACUCAUUAAAUCUUCCUUUCCGGUGUACCUUGAAAAGUCUGUAUUAUGUCUUCAUUGUGAGAAGUUGUUUUGUUUUUUUUUCAUUAGUUACAGAAUUCUAGGUUGAUAGUUUUCUUUUUCCUUUGAAUACUCCUGUGUUCUUGCCCUGGUCCCUUUGCAUUUAACGUAUCUCUCUUUACUCCAGCUACAUUUAAUAUAUCCUUGUUAUAGCACUUUCUGAGCAGUUUGGCUGUGAUGUUCGUGGCUUCGUUUUCUUUGUAUUUCUUGUCUUUUGUGUUUGAUGAAUGUUGUUGUAAAAAUAUAAAAAUAAAAAAGAGUUGUGUUGUCUUUUACCCCGAUAGGUCCGCACCUCGGUGCCCCAAGAUAUCUGCUAGAUAUCUUGGCGGAAACACAUCCCAGCCGCACUUUCCUACACUCAAACCCCCACAUAAAAGAACACACCACACAAUAAUCUUAGACCCAAUUGAUAAGAUAUAAUUGCCCACUUAAACAUACAAAGCCCGGUACCAUCCAUCCCUUAGGAACAUUGUAAAUACACAGAGCAGAAUCUUAACAUCACCUGCCAUGGCUUCUCCCCUCUCUCCACCUCCUGUCUCUCCUUCUCUUCCAGUCUCCUCCUCUUCCUUCAAACUUCUCUCCUGCCCAUCCUUCCUUCUCCUCCAAUGACAGGCCUCCUUCUAUCCUGUACCUGCCCCUCACCUGUACUUUACAAAUUCAAUGGGGAAAAGGUUCUGGUGAAGUCACCUGAUUCCUGAGUACUAGGCAGCUGUCCUUGGGGCAGAGAAAUUAGCAUCAAAAUACAGUUAACUUCAGGGCAAACCACAACAGACGAAGUUACUGGGACAAAGGAUUUUAUAAUUUCACUAAAUUUGGGAAGUUUUUAUUAUUUCUUCAAAAUGGCCAAGUCUUUCCUUCCUUUAAACACUCCAGAACUGUGCCCUAGAGCACUUGAGAUCUCACAGCUCUGGCACACUCUUCAGCUGUCAUUGAGUCUUUUCAGUUCUGUUUUUGACGCUGUCUAUUGUUUAACUUCCAGCCGAAUUCAGGUCCUCUGCCCUGUAUGACUGUAUCCUAUUCUCUUAUGUAUUUAUCUCAGGCCUUCAUUCAGAAUGUUUUUCAGAUGUCAUUUCUUAUGCUCCCAUGUCUUCAGUUAAAUUUUACUGAGUCUUGGGACUAGAAGGAUGGCUCAGAGGUUAAGAGCACUGGCUGCUCUUCCAGAGGUCCUGAGUUCAAUUCCCAGCAACCACAUGAUGGCUCACAACCAUCUGUAAUGGGAUCCGAUGCCCUCUUCUGCUGUGUCUGAAGUCAGGAACAGUGGACUCAUAUACAUAAAAUUAAAUAAAUAAAUCUUUAAAA